rnacentral:rRNA from 1 species
UACGAAGGGGGCUAGCGUUGUUCGGAAUUACUGGGCGUAAAGCGUGCGCAGGCGGCUUCUCAAGUCAGGGGUGAAAGCCCAGAGCUCAACUCUGGAAUUGCCUUUGAGACUGAGUGGCUUGAGUACGGGAGAGGUGAGUGGAAUUCCCAGUGUAGAGGUGAAAUUCGUAGAUAUUGGGAAGAACACCGGUGGCGAAGGCGGCUCACUGGCCCGUAACUGACGCUCAUGCACGAAAGCGUGGGGAGCAAACAGG